rnacentral:rRNA from 1 species
AGCCAACUCUAGCCCAACCCCCCACGACAACCGCACAUAAAAAUUUACUAAAUCUUUAAAUCAAAACAUUCUUCCAACUAAGUAUAGGCGAUAGAAAAGUCAUUAGGCGCUAUAGAGAUUUGUACCGCAAGGGAGAGAUGAAAUAACAAUGAACUAAGCCGAGCAAUUAACAGCAAAGAUAAACCCUUGUACCUCUUGCAUUAUGGUCUAGCUAGAAUAAGCAAGCAAAGUGGACUUAAGCUUGCCACCCCGAAACCUAAGCGAGCUACUUGUAAGCAGCUAACCCUGAGCGAACCCGUUUCUGUUGCAAAAGAGUGGGACGACUUACUAGUAGAGGUGAAAAGCCAAUCGAGCUAGGUGAUAGCUGGUUACCUGCAAAACGAAUCUAAGUUCACCCUUGACACCUCCCCCAGGAGCCCUUACCACAACCCCAAUGUAGGUCAUCAAGAGUAAUUUAAAGGAGGCACAGCUCCUUUAAAAAAGGAUACAACCUUCACUAGCGGAUAAUUACAGCCUUACAUAACAAUUGUGGGCCUUUAAGCAACCAUCAGUAAAGAGUGCGUCAAAGCUCCCCUUUACAAAAAUCCUAAAUCCGUAUGACUCCCUCCCCACUAGCAGGUCAACCUAUACUAAUAGGAGAGUUUAUGCUAAAAUGAGUAACUAGGGCAAACCCCCUCUUAAGCGCAAACUUACAUCUACACAUUAUUAACAGGCACCUAAUACUCACACUACAACAAGACUACGUAUUACAUCCCCUGUUAUCCCAACCCAGGAGCGCAUGCUAAAAAGAUUGAAAUCUGUAAAAGGAACUAGGCAAAUCUCCAAGGCCCGACUGUUUACCAAAAACAUAGCCUUCAGCCAAACGAGUAUUGAAGGUGAUGGCUGCCCAGUGACUUUGUUCAACGGCCGCGGUAUCCUAACCGUGCGAAGGUAGCGCAACCAAUUGUCUCAUAAAUUGAGACUUGUAUGAAUGGCUAAACGAGGUCUUAACUGUCUCUUGCAGAUAAUCAGCGAAAUUGAUCUUCCUGUGCAAAAGCAGGAAUAAACGCAUAAGACGAGAAGACCCUGUGGAACUUAAAAAUCAGCAGCCACCUCGCAACAAAACUUAACCUACUAGGCUCUCCAGACAUGAUGCUGGCUCGCAUUUUUCGGUUGGGGCGACCUUGGAGAAAAACAAAACCUCCAAAAAUAAGACCACCCCUCUUAACUAAGAGCAACCCCUCGACGACUAACAGUAACCAGACCCAAUAUAGUUGACCAAUGGACCAAGCUACCCCAGGGAUAACAGCGCAAUCUCCUCCAAGAGUCCAUAUCGACGAGGAGGUUUACGACCUCGAUGUUGGAUCAGGACAUCCUAAUGGUGCAGCCGCUAUCAAGGGUUCGUUUGUUCAACGAUUAAUAGUCCUACGUGAUCUGAGUUCAGACUGGAGCAAUCCAGGUCGGUUUCUAUCUAUGUCGUACUUUUCCCAGUACGAAAGGACCGGAAAAGUGAGGCCAAUGAUUCAACACAUGCCUCCUCCCUAAGUAAUGAAUACAACUAAAUUACAAAGAGAUCCCACACAGUACCCAAUCCUAGAAAAGGAUC